rnacentral:rRNA from 1 species
AACUCCGUACGGGAGGCAGCAGUGGGGGAAUAUUGCACAAUGGGCGAAAGCCUGAUGCAGCGACGCCGCGUGAGCGAAGAAGUAUUUCGGUAUGUAAAGCUCUAUCAGCAGGGAAGAUAAUGACGGUACCUGACUAAGAAAGCACCGGCUAAAUACGUGC